rnacentral:rRNA from 1 species
CCUACGGGAGGCAGCAGUGAGGAAUAUUGGUCAAUGGGCGGAAGCCUGAACCAGCAAAGCCGCGUGAGGGAUUAAGGCCCUGCGGGUCGUAAACCUCUUUUGCCGGGGCGCAGAGGUCCGGACGUGUCCGGGCCGGGAGAGUACCCGGCGAACAAGCAUCGGCUAACUCCGUGCCAGCAGCCGCGGUAAUACGGAGGAGGCGAGCGUUAUCCGGAUUUAUUGGGUUUAAAGGGAGCGUAGGCGGGCAUUUAAGCCGGCGGUCAAAUGUCGGGGCUCAACCCCGGCCUGCCGUCGGAACUGGGUGCCUUGAGUGGGCGAGAGGUAUGCGGAAUGCGUGGUGUAGCGGUGAAAUGCAUAGAGAUCACGCAGAACCCCGAUUGCGAAGGCGGCAUACCGGCGCCCUACUGACGCUGAGGCACGAAAGUGCGGGUAUCGAACAGGAUUAGAUACCCGAGUAGUC